rnacentral:rRNA from 1 species
AGUGAACGCUGGCGGUAGGCCUAACACAUGCAAGUCGAACGGCAGCACAGUAAGAGCUUGCUCUUACGGGUGGCGAGUGGCGGACGGGUGAGGAAUACAUCGGAAUCUACUUUUUCGUGGGGGAUAACGUAGGGAAACUUACGCUAAUACCGCAUACGACCUACGGGUGAAAGCAGGGGAUCUUCGGACCUUGCGCGAUUGAAUGAGCCGAUGUCGGAUUAGCUAGUUGGCGGGGUAAAGGCCCACCAAGGCGACGAUCCGUAGCUGGUCUGAGAGGAUGAUCAGCCACACUGGAACUGAGACACGAACCAGACUCCUACGGGAGGCAGCAGUGGGGAAUAUUGGGCAAUGGGCGCAAGCCUGAUCCAGCCAUACCGCGUGGGUGAAGAAGGCCUUCGGGUUGUAAAGCCCUUUUGUUGGGAAAGAAAAGCAGCAGGUUAAUACCCCGCUGUUCUGACGGUACCCAAAGAAUAAGCACCGGCUAACUUCGUG